GGGGGCCUGGUCUAGUGGUAUGACAUUCGCUUUGCAAGCUGAUGCUGAAAAUGCGAAAGGUCCCGGGUUCAAUUCCCGGUGCCUCCA
rnacentral:tRNA from 1 species